UUUCUCUCUCUUCACUCCUUGCCAUUCCAGGUUGACUGCACCCAGACCUUCAGUCUUAUAUUGAUAAUUCAGUCUUUGCCGCAGAGUAAUUUGAAGAAAUACGGCAAAACCAGUUCACUCACUGAACCAAUGGAAGGCUGGUUCAGUUCCUACUGAGCAGGGGACUUGAAGCAGUGAACCCCUUACAACCGCUAUAUGCAUGUUCACCCAAAGCCCAGCAAAUCCACAUUUUGAAAUCCAACUAAACCUUUGAUGUUUUUCUGCCCAUAGAGAUGUUCCUCUAUAUAUUGAGCCCACCUAUGUCUAUUAUAUUUAAUCUAUCAUUUCACAUGGGCAAGAAAUCCUAUGUGUUUAUAAGUCACCCUAAAGAAAAGUAUUCAAAUACUGGAAGUUGUAUGCUUACAAGUGAAUAUAAAAAGAAAUAAAGAUCACAAACUUGA